CACGUAGGUGGCGAGCGUUAUCCGGAUUCACUGGGCGUAAAGCGCCCGCAGGCGGCUGGGCAAGUGGGACGUGAAAUCUCCCGGCUCAACUGGGAGGGUCGUUCCAUACUGCUCGGCUGGAGGGCAGAAGAGGAAAGUGGAAUUCCCGGUGUAGUGGUGAAACGCGUAGAUAUCGGGAGGAACACCAGUGGCGAAGGCGACUUUCUGGCCUGCACCUGACGCUCAAGGGCGAAAGCUAGGGGAGC
rnacentral:rRNA from 1 species